rnacentral:rRNA from 1 species
UGACCUCGGAUCAGACGUGAAUACCCGCUGAACUUAAGCAUAUCACUAAGCGGAGGAAAAGAAACUAACAAGGAUUCCCUUAGUAACGGCGAGUGAACAGGGAAAAGCCCAGCACCGAAGCCUGUGGCCAUUUGGUUACUAGGCAAUGUGGUGUUCAGGUCGUCCUUUGGAGAUGUUGCUUCACCCCAAGUCCAGCAAUGAGUAUGGUUAUUCAGACUUGGCCCAGAGAGGGUGAAAGGCCCGUGGGGGUGAGGUUCAGCUAUGUUAAUGUCUCCCUUGGUAGACCUUGGAGUCGGGUUGUUUGUGAUUGCAGCCCAAAGUGGGUGGUAAACUCCAUCCAAGGCUAAAUACUUACACGAGUCCGAUAGCGAACAAGUACCGUGAGGGAAAGUUGAAAAGUACUUUGAAGAGAGAGUAAACAGUGCGUGAAACCGCUCAGAGGUAAACGGGUGGAGUUGAACUGCAAACUUUGAGAAUUCAGCUGGCGAGUGUGGUUUGGGCUUGGACAAAGUGAUUGGUCUAGCGGGUCUGCUUAGCCGCAGGUCUCUGCCUUCGGGUGGGGAUGCGCGAGGCACUUGUCAAGUGUUGCGCGCUCGCGUGAUUACUCGGAUCAACUUGCCAGUGCACUUUCUCAUUGUGUUCACCACGACCGGCGCUGCUGUCUGUCUGAUGUGGUCAAACCGGACUUGUAUUGUCCUUGUGGCUCUGCUUGAUCGGGAUGGCAGGUGACUCGUUGGCUUGUGUGUCGGCCUCGGUCGGCAUACGCUUGGCUUUCGAGCGUAAUUAGCUGGCCAUGUUAGUACUGUGCAGUGCGUCGGAGACGGCGGCUUGUUGUGUGUGCAUUCGUGCUUGCUUGCUGACGGUGCCGGGUUCGAUUGUUCUGUUGCCUGUCUCGGAUAGGCCUGAUGAUAGCUCGGUUCUGCUUGGUAGGCGGUUGCGUGUGCGUCACUUAUGAGGGCCUACAGUCUGUGGUGCAGUGGUAGACUAUCCACCC